GUGCGCUGUGUCCAGAGCUGGGAUCAGGAAGUGUGUGGCCUCCAAGGUGAACUGUGGAGGUGGCCUUCGGAGCAUGGAAGCCAGAUGGGGCACUCACAGACAGUAGGGUGCCGUUGGCCAUGUACCAGAUGCAACACCUCAUUGGGACUGACACUAAACGCCAAACCUGAGUGAAAUCUGGAUUCCAUUCUUAUUGAGGCACAACCAAGCAAGAGUUCCUGUUUGCUGAAUUGACCAAUGAAGUUCAGUCUGAUUGAGUGUGAUACUUGCUGGCCCUACUUUUGUUCAGCCUUUGCAGACAUGGCUCCAUUGUCAUCUGGAAUUAAUGCUGCCAUAAUGAAAUCUGAGCAACAUAAAUCUAAAGUCAACUAUUUCCUGUGUGUUUUAUGCCCAGGGUCUAAAGAAUUCUUUCUUUAUAUAAGAAAUUUAGCA